CUGAGUUUUGGGUUAUCUUCUCGAUACCCGAUCUCCCACCCUUUGUUUAACUACAAUUUGUUGCUUUGGCAGGACUGUCUUUUUUUCGAAAGGGACUGCCGGAGGAGGGUUUCACGACCACCUCUGGAUUGAUUUGCCUGUCAAUAGCCAAUUGAAAUUCUUUUUUAAUUAUGUCGUCUGACUUCUUUAAAUAAAUUUUUAUUUA
rnacentral:misc_RNA from 2 species